CCCUGCGCGAGAGUUUGGAUUCUAACACUGAGAGCCGGUGGGCGGAAGUCGCAGGGGCCCUGCGUGUCCUGUGCAGAGUUCUGCGGUGCGGUGAGAGGUUCUGAGGGUGCCCCGAGCUUCGCAUCACUGUAGAUCCUCAGUGCCCAUGACACACACGGCACCCUCACCGUGGAAAGGAAACAACUUAAGUUAAUUCCUCAUCUUCUCACAAGUCAAAGGUACAGCAGCUGUGGUGAUGGCCUGUCUGCUCAGCUGCUCUCCUGGUAACCUCUAGACCCUCACUCAGCUUUCGGUUCCUGAGAAAAUUGGAUCUGCCAGCAAAGAGGCAAGAGAGGAAACAUACCUGUUGACAUGAAUUUGUCCCAGAAGCCCCAGAGGGUGCACCCACAGGAGCAGGAUGGGUCAUGUGAGAGAUUGGUGUCCUUUGAGGAUGUGACUGUGGACUUUAGCCAGGAGGAGUGGCGGCGCCUGGACCCUGCCCAGAGACGCCUGUACCAGGAGGCUACCCUAUUCCCAGCCCUGGGGCCAUCUUCAGGAUAAAGAAAAGAAAGAAGACACAGACAGGAGAGGCUAAGUUCCCACAUCAUCAGUGUUGGUGUCAAGAAGUGGAAUCAGAGUUUUACACUCCCCGACAGAAAGCUUCCGAGAAUGCAGCAUUUCAAACCAGAAAGGCGAGUGCACUCUCAGGUCAUGGUUUGUGGUGCUCUAUUUUAGAAGUACUGUGGCAAGACCCCGACCUUACAAAAAGAGAUGGACAAAGCCAGAUCCCACCCUGGAGUCCUGGUGCUUUCCUCAACAAGAAAACACAGAACACAGACAGAGACUGUGGUUGUAAAGAGCCCGGAAAAACCACCCCCUUGGUAUCUAACCUUAUUUCUACACAAAAGGGAGCUCCAAAGUCACUUGCGAAACAUUUGAAGCGCA
rnacentral:lncRNA from 1 species